UACGAAGGGGGCUAGCGUUGCUCGGAAUCACUGGGCGUAAAGGGUGCGUAGGCGGGUCUUUAAGUCAGGGUGGAAAUCCUGGAGCUCAACUCCAGAACUGCCUUUGAUACUGAAGAUCUUGAGUUCGGGAGAGGUGAGUGGAACUGCGAGUGUAGAGGUGAAAUUCGUAGAUAUUCGCAAGAACACCAGUGGCGAAGGCGGCUCACUGGCCCGAUACUGACGCUGAGGCACGAAAGCGUGGGGAGCAAACGGG
rnacentral:rRNA from 1 species